CGCAUAACCCUAGAAGAGGACAUUUUAGUGCGUGAGAUAGCGAAGGGUAGAACCGUCAUGUUUCGAUAAUGCUGCGUCAACUGUAAAAUUCGCCGACGACAGAUAAUCAAACUCUCUCUCCCUCUCUCAUGAAUCCGUGUAACAAUGUCAACCCCAAAAUUAAUGCUUCUUCAUCUUAGGAUUUGGUUGAUCUAUGCUCAACUAUAAGAAUCUUUUUCUGAGGCCGGGGUCGAUUGACAAUUCAAGCUUCCGUAAAAAAGAGCUCAUCGUUCCCUCUAGACUGGCAUGGGCAACUUCAUGCUUCCCUGCUUGCCCGGCUGUGGUUGAUAUAGUAGGAAGCAAAAAGUUCCAUUCUCAACAAAUAAGUCUCAAAGGUUUUGGAGUGAGGGAGGUCCUGUCACUGGCUCAGGAACAGAUGGAGAUGAACACGGUCGUCGCAGAAAAUGCAGACCACUUACAUCCUACAUAUGAAACAACUAUGGAGGCUCUUUCCUCUCUCAUUACUACCAAAAGACGAGGGGAUGUGCAAACAAUCAGUAAUAAGUAUAGCAAAUUAGAGAGGAUGGAAAUGUAUGUUAAGAUUUUGGGUUUGGAAGAACCUAUAGGCCGACUUAAAAUCAUCCAUGUUGCUGGGACUAAAGGGAAGGGUUCGACAUGCUCAUUUUGUGAGGCAAUUCUAAGAGAGAGUGGAUUCAGAACUGGAUUAUUUACCUCGCCACACUUAAUUGACGUGAGAGAAAGAUUUCGUCUGGAUGGGCAGGAUAUAUCUGAAGAAAAGUUUCUCCACUACUUUUGGGAAUGCUGGAACCAGCUGAAGCGGAAUAUCACAGAUGAUUUGCCUAUGCCUCCACUUUUCCAGUUUCUUACUGUAUUGGCCUUCAAAAUUUUUGCUUGUGAAAAGGUAGAUGUUGCUAUCAUUGAAGUUGGCCUUGGGGGUACCAGGGACUCAACAAAUGUGAUCAAGAAUCCUGUUGUCUGUGGUGUAAGUCCGCUUGGCAUGGAUCAUAUGGAAACGCUCGGAGAUACGCUGGAGCAGAUUGCUUCUCACAAAGCAGGAAUCUUAAAGCCUCACGUGCCUGCAUUCACGGUAACACAACCAUCUGAAGCAAUGGGUGUUCUUCAACAAAAGGCGAGGGAUUUGAUGGUCCCAUUGGAAGUCGUUGCUCCUCUUGAUCGUAGUAAUUUAAAAGGGAUAGAACUAAGCUUGUCUGGCGAUCACCAAUUCACGAAUGCUGGUCUUGCCAGUGCACUUUGCAAAAGCUGGCUCCAGAGUACAGGGAAUUGGGAAAAACUUCUCCAGCAUCCUGGCGAGGAAGACAACAUACCCGAUGCAUUUCUUAGGGGUCUUCAAACAGCGCGUCUCUCUGGAAGGGCUGAGAUUGUUCGUGACUCUACACUAUCGUCUUCUGCAAUGGCUAGCGAGGCUGAGAAUACUUCAGGGGAUCUCGUUUUUUACUUGGACGGUGCUCACAGUCCCGAAAGCAUAGAGGCUUGUGCCAGGUGGUUUUCAAGUGCUGUAAAAGGAAAGACAUCGAAAGAAGUUUGGGGCAAUGGUGAUGUUAAGGGAAAAAUAUCCAAAAAGAUUCUUCUGUUCAACUGUAUGGAUGUCAGAGAUCCCCAAAGCCUUCUCCCGAUACUUGUUGAUACCUGUGCAUCGUCGGGCACACAUUUUGCAAAAGCCAUUUUCGUUCCUGGCAUCUCGUCUUACACGAAGGUGACUUCUGCCUCCUCCAUUCCUUCAGGGAUACCUCCCAAGGAUUUAUCUUGGCAGUUCAACCUUCAAAGAGUUUGGGAAAACAUCAUUCAUGGAAAAGAUGCUGUUAACAAGAAUCUUGAGGCGAGAAUCCCAGAUAGUGUUCCACCUCGCAGGUUCCUUGACAAUGAUGCAGCCGGUUGCAGUGCAGUGGUCUCUUCCCUGCCAAUGACAAUCAAUUGGCUAAGGGACUGCGUGAAGAUAAACCCGUCACUCAGAAUUCAGGUUCUUGUCACGGGGUCGUUGCACCUGGUUGGGGAUGUGUUGAAGCUACUUCGGAGAUGAUUUAGGAAGAAACUCUCGAGCUAAAUUAAGAGUCGUGUGACACUCUUCUACUCCAGCCCCGGUACCACACAUGCGAAGCUUGUACGCAGUGUGAUGAAAUAACAGACGAGACAUGCAAAACUUCUACGCUAUAUGUAAUGAAUGUAUAUCAGUUCCAAAACAAUGCCCCCAAUAGUGAAAGCAAAAACAGGGUAUCCUUUGGCGUUGGGGUUGCUUAUUUGUUGUGUUGCUUACACUACUUAAUAAUUUUCUUGCUCACCUCGGACCACUUCUAUGGGUAACAUGCACUCGGGCGUAGACGGAUUCUCGACUGUGAUGAUGCUUAGGCCAUCAAAGCGGCAAGCUUUCUCGCCUUGAAAUCUGAACUGGAAAUACUUGUUAAGCGCGGACAUCACAUUUUGGUUGAAACUGAUGUUGUUGCAAGAACGGCCCGAUUUCAAACUACUACAAAGGCGUAAUCAAGUUGCUUCAUCACCAUAAGGUAGUCUGUCCGGUUCCCAUUGAAGACGCACCACCACUCUGGCAUCCUCAUAAUCCCCUUGGCUGAUGAUGGGUAAAUAUCACGACCUAAAACUGUCAGGUCGAUCUUGAAUUUAGGCUUCCCGUUGGAGCGUUAGAGCCCCCUCAUGAAAAAUCGGGCAUUUUGUUUUGGUCAGUAAGUGCGUGGACGAAAGUGUCGAUGGGCCCCGGGGUGGAGCGGGGUCUCCUUGCUGCUCGACACAUAUGAGAGUAUGCCUUUGAAGAAUCGCUCCGCGGUGGAGGUAUAACCACGGGCGUAGCCAUCGGUGGACCAACCAACUUGGCCGACGAUGACCUUGAUGAAGGCCAAAAAGGCAUCGUACAUGAAAUCGAUGAUGCUCGUGUAGAUGACUUGAUGACUUGGGUUGGCUUCUCUACGAAGGCGAUCUUGAAUUUCUCCAAGUCGAAUGACGGGAUCAUGUCCACCACGAAUGGGGCGUUGAGUGUCUCCACCAUCUCCAGCAUCUAAAGGCUUGUGAUGUUUGGCUUCAACUCGCUGUUCAUUCAACUCGCUUUGUCUUUCAAUCCAUACACAAAUGGAUAGCAACCAACGCAGGUUAGCUUUGGAGGAUAGCUCCUCCAUUUUGCAACCCUAAAUCCAAAACUUGUGAUGGUAUCAAUCUCUCACCACUCUCUCUCUUCCCCAAUUUAAUUAUCUACACCUGUCUUUGUCAUCAAAAUUAUUACUAUCUCCGUCCUUCAAAAUUAGAAACCUUUGAAA